GAUGAACGCUAGCGGCAGGCUUAAUACAUGCAAGUCGAGGGGUAGCAAGAUUGUAGCAAUACAAUUGUUGACGACCGGCAAACGGGUGCGGAGCACGUACACAACCUUCCUACAAGUGGGGAAUAGCCCAGAGAAAUUUGGAUUAAUACCCCGUAACAUAGCGAUGUGGCAUCACAUUGCUAUUAUAGCUUCGGCGCUUGUUGAUGGGUGUGCGGCUGAUUAGAUAGUUGGCGGGGUAACGGACCACCAAGUCUACGAUCAGUAGCUGAUGUGAGAGCAUGAUCAGCCACACGGGGACUGAGACACGGGCCCGACUCCUACGGGAGGCAGCAGUAAGGAAUAUUGGACAAUGGACGCAAGUUUGAUCCAGCCAUGCCGCGUGAAGGAUUAAGGUCCUCUGGAUUGUAAACUUCUUUUAUAAGGGACGAAAAAAGGUCUUUCUAGAUCGUCUGACGGUACCUUAUGAAUAAGCACCGGCUAACUCCGUGCCAGCCGCCGCGGUAAUAC
rnacentral:rRNA from 1 species